rnacentral:tRNA from 1 species
GCGGGGGUAGCUAAGCCUGGCCAACAGCUCGGGACUUAAGAUCCCGUCCCCUAGGGGUUCGUGGGUUCGAAUCCCACCCCCCGCACCA